rnacentral:rRNA from 1 species
AUGAACGCUGGCGGCGUGCCUAAUACAUGCCGGUCGAGCGAACAGACGAGGAGCUUGCUCCUCUGACGUUAGCGGCGGACGGGUGAGUAACACGUGGAUAACCUACCUAUAAGACUGGGAUAACUUCGGGAAACCGGAGCUAAUACCGGAUAAUAUAUUGAACCGCAUGGUUCAAUAGUGAAAGACGGUUUUGCUGUCACUUAUAGAUGGAUCCGCGCCGCAUUAGCUAGUUGGUAAGGUAACGGCUUACCAAGGCAACGAUGCGUAGCCGACCUGAGAGGGUGAUCGGCCACACUGGAACUGAGACACGGUCCAGACUCCUACGGGAGGCAGCAGUAGGGAAUCUUCCGCAAUGGGCGAAAGCCUGACGGAGCAACGCCGCGUGAGUGAUGAAGGUCUUCGGAUCGUAAAACUCUGUUAUUAGGGAAGAACAAAUGUGUAAGUAACUAUGCACGUCUUGACGGUACCUAAUCAGAAAGCCACGGCUAACUACGUG